rnacentral:rRNA from 1 species
UGGGGAAUAUUGCACAAUGGGCGCAAGCCUGAUGCAGCAACGCCGCGUGAACGAUGAAGGUCUUCGGAUCGUAAAGUUCUGUUGCAGGGGAAGAUAAUGACGGUACCCUGUGAGGAAGCCCCGGCUAACUACGUGCCAGCAGCCGCGGUAAUACGUAGGGGGCUAGCGUUAUCCGGAUUUACUGGGCGUAAAGAGCUUGUAGGCGGUUCGUCGCGUCUGGUGUGAAAGCCCAUCGCUUAACGGUGGGUUUGCGCCGGGUACGGGCGGGGUAGAGUGCAGUAGGGGAGACUGGAAUUCCCGGUGUAACGGUGGAAUGUGUAGAUAUCGGGAAGAACAACAAUGGCGAAGGCAGGUCUCUGGGCUGUUACUGACGCUGAGAAGCGAAAGCGUGGGGAGCGAACAGG